rnacentral:lncRNA from 1 species
UCUAUUCCUGGAGAAACGGUCAACUGUGCUAUCAUACCUAAACUUCUACAAAAUUUUCACUCCAGCAUUAAUUUUUUUUCACAACUAACCCAAUAUUUGUAAAUUUCUAUAAACUUAUCAAAUUCACCUAUGUAGUCAUAUUUGCAUAAAAAAUUCAACGAUUUUUGCGCUUUUAUAAAAAUGAGCCACUUUUUUAAAUUUUACACAUUUGAUCCAAAUUUUUAGUAAAUUGACUAAAAUAUCUUUAUUUCUCUUUUUCUCUUUUUUUUUCGUUCGUCUUUCUCCUUUCGGCAUCUCUCCCUUCUCAGCAUUUCUUUCUCUCUUUCUCCUCCCGUUUUCUCUCCCUUCUCCUCCUACUCCAUCGUCCCCAUGUUGUUGCGGCGCUCCUCUCUCUUACUUUAACCACGCCUCUGUCGAUGCCAAUUUGGAUAUGCCACAGAUCGUGGAGAUGAGGUUGCGAUGGAAAGUGAGGCUGCGGUAGAAAGCGUGGCCAUGGACGGUGAGAACGACGAAAGUGUUGCAGGAUUUGAGGACGACGGGGAAGGAGAGCGUGUCGGGGCGAGGAAGGGACAGGAGCGGGGGUGGCGGAUACUACAAAGGGUGAUGGAAAGGGCGCGGUAACAGAAAAUAAUAUAGAGGAUGGAAGGGAAAAAAGGAAGAAAAUAAAUUUUUUUUUUCUUCUGGAAAGG